CCUACGGGAGGCAGCAGUGGGGAAUAUUGCGCAAUGGGCGAAAGCCUGACGCAGCGACGCAGCGUGAGGGAUGAAGGUCUUCGGAUCGUAAACCUCUGUCAGCAGGGAAGAACGGUCACUGUGCUAAUCAGCAGUGAAUUGACGGUACCUGCAAAGGAAGCACCGGCUAACUCCGUGCCAGCAGCCGCGGUAAUACGGAGGGUGCGAGCGUUAAUCGGAAUUACUGGGCGUAAAGCGCUCGUAGGCGGUAUGUCAAGUCAAGGGUGAAAUCCCCGCGCUCAACGUGGGAACUGCCUUUGAAACUGGCAGACUGGAGUGUGUGAGAGGAUAGUGGAAUUCCAGGUGUAGGAGUGAAAUCCGUAGAUAUCUGGAGGAACAUCAGUGGCGAAGGCGACUUUCUGGACGAUAACUGACGUUGAGGCACGAAAGUGUGGGGAGCAAACAGGAUUAGAUACCCCGGUAGUC
rnacentral:rRNA from 1 species